GUGAGUAGUUCAGAGUUUGAUCCUGGCUCAGGAUGAACGCUGGCGGCGUGCCUAACACAUGCAAGUCGAACGGAACUUUUAUGGAUUGAGACUUCGGUUGAUUGAAGUUUAAGUUUAGUGGCGGACGGGUGAGUAACGCGUGAGUAACCUGCCUUUCACAGGGGAAUAACGUUUGGAAACGAACGCUAAUACCGCAUGACAUAGCGAGACCGCAUGAUCUUGCUAUCAAAGAUUUUAUCGGUGAAAGAUGGACUCGCGUCCGAUUAGGUAGUUGGUGAGGUAACGGCCCACCAAGCCGACGAUCGGUAGCCGGACUGAGAGGUUGAACGGCCACAUUGGGACUGAGACACGGCCCAG
rnacentral:rRNA from 1 species